rnacentral:rRNA from 1 species
GAUGAACGCUGGCGGCGUGCCUAAUACAUGCAAGUCGAGCGAACGGACGAGAAGCUUGCUUCUCUGAUGUUAGCGGCGGACGGGUGAGUAACACGUGGAUAACCUACCUAUAAGACUGGGAUAACUUCGGGAAACCGGAGCUAAUACCGGAUAAUAUUUUGAACCGCAGGGUUAAAAAGUGAAAGACGGUCUUGCUGUCACUUAUAGAUGGAUCCGCGCUGCAUUAGCUAGUUGGUAAGGUAACGGCUUACCAAGGCAACGAUGCAUAGCCGACCUGAGAGGGUGAUCGGCCACACUGGAACUGAGACACGGUCCAGACUCCUACGGGAGGCAGCAGUAGGGAAUCUUCCGCAAUGGGCGAAAGCCUGACGGAGCAACGCCGCGUGAGUGAUGAAGGUCUUCGGAUCGUAAAACUCUGUUAUUAGGGAAGAACAUAUGUGUAAGUAACUGUGCACAUCUUGACGGUACCUAAUCAGAAAGCCACGGCUAACUACGUG